rnacentral:rRNA from 1 species
UACGGAGGGGGCAAGCGUUAUCCGGAUUUACUGGGUGUAAAGGGAGCGUAGACGGCUGUGCAAGCCAGAUGUGAAAGCCCGGGGCUCAACCCCGGGACUGCAUUUGGAACUAUGUGGCUGGAGUGUCGGAGAGGCAGGCGGAAUUCCUAGUGUAGCGGUGAAAUGCGUAGAUAUUAGGAGGAACACCAGUGGCGAGGGCGGCCUGCUGGACGAUGACUGACGGUGAGGCGCGAAAGCGUGGGGAGCAAACAGG